rnacentral:rRNA from 1 species
UACGAAGGGUGCAAACGUUGCUCGGAAUCAUUGGGCGUAAAGCGCACGUAGGCGGCCUUGCAAGUCGGAUGUGAAAUCCCACGGCUCAACCGUGGACGUGCAUCCGAAACUGCUCGGCUCGAGUAUGGAAGAGGGUCGCGGAAUUCCCGGUGUAGAGGUGAAAUUCGUAGAUAUCGGGAGGAACACCAGUGGCGAAGGCGGCGACCUGGGCCGAUACUGACGCUGAGGCACGAAAGCGUGGGGAGCAAACAGG